rnacentral:lncRNA from 12 species
AACUCUCUGUGGUUUGUGAAAUCCUUUUAGAAGCUUGGAAAUAAAAUUUCCUUUCUCACUUCUUUUCUUAAUUUUAUUUUUUUCCUUCCCUUUAACUGAAAAAAGCAAAACCUGUCAUUCCCUAUGUCCCCAACAAGCAAUGUAUAGAAAGCUGAAAUUACACUUACCUGCCUGCUGCAGAGGAGGUUCCAAGGUGCCCAGAGGUGAGAGGAUCUCAGGAAGGGCUGCUCCAUUUAAUUGCAAAUAG